rnacentral:lncRNA from 1 species
GGAGUGAGUUUCUUCUUCUACCAUCUUGUCUUUGUAACAUUUGAACCAAGCUUUAGUGAACCUGUUUUGAGGGUAUAAAUGAUUCUUCAAUCACUUUUGGAUUUAGGAUUAGUCCUCUGAUUUGAGAAUCCGAACCUCUGCACUUGAGUGUAUUCAUAUGGAGAUAUGAUAAUGAUAUCAUAAAUGGAUUACUGCUUCUCACGAGUCUUUUGAAUCUUAAGACUAGUUUCAAUUGUAAAGGACUUGUUUAGUUGCUUGUGUGAUGGACCUUAACUUGUGGUUUAUUUGUAUGAUGGACCUUAACUUGUGGUUUAUUUAUGUUUUUUUUUUUUUCCUAUGGCAGUGGUUCACUUACAAGAACCUGGUCUUCAAACCAGACAGGUUAACCAAUUCUCUAUAACCUGAUUAGAUAUAAUGCUUUAAGCCUGUGUUUGGUUUCAUGUAGUAAUAUUGAGAAAAUAAGACUCAAGUUCUCGAGGAAAUUGUAUGUUGUGGCUUUCAGGGAGGCUCUGUUUGAGAAGGUCAAGAACACAUACAAAGACAUAUUAGGGAGCAGCUGAAUCAAAGGAGGAGGAAGAAG